rnacentral:lncRNA from 1 species
AGGGAGAAGACAACCCUUCCAAGUGGGAGGGAAGAUUCAUGAAUGUUCUGGGUACGGAAUUCACUAGAGUCCAAUCUCUCGGAUAAUCAAUCUGCACCGUGACGAGUCGGGGAGCCGCCAUUCCCAUCCUGCCGGCUGGGACUCUGGAGUGUGUUACCUGAUGGAAAUGGAGAAAUCUAUAGGGACAAUAUGAUUCCACUUCUCUCUGUCGAAAGACGAUACCCAAACCUUCGUCUGAAAAGGCUGGGAUUUCUUGUGAUAAUUCUUCAGGCUUCAUAAUGUCUCAACCAAGAGGACUCAAUGGUCUCACAUUGUAAAUGGUGGCAUUGACUACCCAUGGGUCUCAGGAUCAACGGUCAGUUACAAAAGCUGGUGUUUGCAACCUGGUGCUUGUUUAAUUAUUGAGACUCCCAGACACAGGAAUCUUUCUCCAUGGUGACAAAAGGAGGAGCAGAGAUUCUGGGAGAAUGGAUGCUGGAUUCAGAAUGAGGAGACCUGGAUUCUGGCCCUAAUUUUCCUGCUGAUUUGCUGUGCAACCUUCUACAAGGCGCUCAGCCUCUCUGGACCUCAUCUCUGCAACAGUGCCUGUCGUCUCCUGGUGAGGAAGGUAAUGUGAGAAAAGCUACACUGCACUGCUAAGGUGAACUCCUUUUUCCCUCCAUUCUCUUUUUGGAUUGACCAGAGUCUCUCUUCAUAGUAGGCUGGGGGGAGACAGGAGGAGUGAAUCCCACUUGCUUUUCCCUUGGCCAUCCUGAACCUCACUCCUCCC